rnacentral:lncRNA from 1 species
CUCAGGCCACAUCACCAAAUGUGACAGGAUAGCCUUGAACUCAUCAAUUGCUGGGGGCACCUCAAACUCAACUCCAAAAUUGAUCUAAUGAACUUUCCCAAACCACAUUCCCUUCUUGCAUUUCUGAGAGAAUGGAUUCCCAUUCAUCUGACUACAGUGCUAUCCUGAAAGCAGAUCCAGAGACUUAGAUUUCACCUGCAGAUGAUUCAUUUGGGUCUCAACUCAAGCAUUCCUUUCUCAAGAAGCCUUUUAUGGUAUGAAGAGUGAGACAGAGUUCCCUGUGCCACCUCCAUUGAAUCAUGUUAGGCCUUAAUGUACCUUUCCUUUAUAACACUUACUGAAUGAUUAAUUUGGCAUUUAUUUACCUGGCUAUUUUAUUCAGGGUUUAGGAUUUAUACUAGAUUGUAAGCUCCCCAAGAGUGUUCCAGGUCUAGUUUAGGUCACCAUGUAUCCCUGAUUAGUACCACACAUCCCAGUGCACCAUGGUUCUCAACAAAUAACAUGUUAUAUAAAUCAAUAAAUGACAGG